AGUGAACGCUGGCGGUAGGCCUAACACAUGCAAGUCGAACGGCAGCACAGUAAGAGCUUGCUCUUACGGGUGGCGAGUGGCGGACGGGUGAGGAAUACAUCGGAAUCUACUUUUUCGGGGGGGAUAACGUAGGGAAACUUACGCUAAUACCGCAUACGACCUACGGGUGAAAGCAGGGGAUCUUCGGACCUUGCGCGAUCGAAUGAGCCGAUGUCGGAUUAGCUAGUUGGCGGGUUAAAGGCCGACCAAGGCGACGAUCCGUAGCUGGUCUGAGAGGAUGACCACCCACACUGGAACUGGGACACGGUCCAGACUCCUACGGGAGGCAGCAGUGGGGAAUAUUGGACAAUGGGCGCAAGCCUGAUCCAGCCCUACCGCGUGGGUGAAGAAGGCCUUCGGGUUGUAAAGCCCUUUUGUUGGGAAAGAAAAGCAGCAGGUUAAUACCCCGCUGUUCUGACGGUACCCAAAGAAUAAGCACCGGCUAACUUCGUG
rnacentral:rRNA from 1 species